CGGUAAUUCCAGCUCCAAUAGCGUAUAUUAAAGUUGUUGCAGUUAAAAAGCUCGUAGUUGAACCUUGGGCUUGGUUGGCCGGUCCGCCUUUUUGGCGAGUACUGGACCCAACCGAGCCUUUCCUUCUGGCUAACCUUUCGCCCUUGNGGUGUUUGGCGAACCAGGACUUUUACUUUGAAAAAAUUAGAGUGUUCAAAGCAGGCCUUUGCUCGAAUAUAUUAGCAUGGAAUAAUAGAAUAGGACGUUAUGGUUCUAUUUUGUUGGUUUCUAGGACCAUCGUAAUGAUUAAUAGGGACGGUCGGGGGCAUCAGUAUUCAGUUGUCAGAGGUGAAAUUCUUGGAUUUACUGAAGACUAACUACUGCGAAAGCAUUUGCCAAGGACGUUUUCAUUAAUCAAGAACGAAAGUUAGGGGAUCGAAGAUGAUCAGAUACCGUCGUAGUCUUAACCAUAAACUAUGCCGACUAGGGAUCGGGUGUUGUUCUUUUUUUGACGCACUCGGCACCUUACGAGUAAUCAAAGUCUUUGGGUUCUGGGGGGAGUAUGGUCGCAAGGCUGAAACUUAAAGGAAUUGACGGAAGGGCACCACCAGGAGUGGAGCCUGCGGCUUAAUUUGACUCAACACGGGGAAACUCACCAGGUCCAGACACAAUAAGGAUUGACAGAUUGAGAGCUCUUUCUUGAUUUUGUGGGUGGUGGUGCAUGGCCGUUCUUAGUUGGUGGAGUGACUUGUCUGCUUAAUUGCGAUAACGAACGAGACCUUAACCUACUAAAUAGUGCUGCUAGCUUUUGCUGGUAUAGUCACUUCUUAGAGGGACUAUCGAUUUCAAGUCGAUGGAAGUUUGAGGCAAUAACAGGUCUGUGAUGCCCUUAGACGUUCUGGGCCGCACGCGCGCUACACUGACGGAGCCAACGAGUAUUAACCUUGGCCGAGAGGUCUGGGAAAUCUUGUGAAACUCCGUCGUGCUGGGGAUAGAGCAUUGUAAUUAUUGCUCUUCAACGAGGAAUUCCUAGUAAGCGCAAGUCAUCAGCU
rnacentral:rRNA from 1 species